rnacentral:rRNA from 1 species
GACGAACGCUGGCGGCGCGCCUAACACAUGCAAGUCGAACGGAGCUGUUUUCUCUGAAGUUUUCGGAUGGAAGAGAGUUCAGCUUAGUGGCGAACGGGUGAGUAACACGUGAGCAACCUGCCUUUCAGUGGGGGACAACAUUUGGAAACGAAUGCUAAUACCGCAUAAGACCACAGUGUCGCAUGGCACAGGGGUCAAAGGAUUUAUCCGCUGAAAGAUGGGCUCGCGUCCGAUUAGCUAGAUGGUGAGGUAACGGCCCACCAUGGCGACGAUCGGUAGCCGGACUGAGAGGUUGAACGGCCACAUUGGGACUGAGACACGGCCCAGACUCCUACGGGAGGCAGCAGUGGGGAAUAUUGCACAAUGGGGGAAACCCUGAUGCAGCGACGCCGCGUGGAGGAAGAAGGUCUUCGGAUUGUAAACUCCUGUCCCAGGGGACGAUAAUGACGGUACCCUGGGAGGAAGCACCGGCUAACUACGUGCCAGCAGCCGCGGUAAAACGUAGGGUGCAAGCGUUGUCCGGAAUUACUGGGUGUAAAGGGAGCGCAGGCGGAUUGGCAAGUUGGGAGUGAAAUCUAUGGGCUCAACCCAUAAAUUGCUUUCAAAACUGUCAGUCUUGAGUGGUGUAGAGGUAGGCGGAAUUCCCGGUGUAGCGGUGGAAUGCGUAGAUAUCGGGAGGAACACCAGUGGCGAA